rnacentral:lncRNA from 1 species
GUUCUGCUUUAUUAAGGACUCACCGGCACAGAAGAAGGCACCAUUCCUUUUCUUGGUGAAGCCGUGGUCCUUCUGUGACUCGGCUUCUCCUCAUAGCCUCCCAAUUUGGGCUAGAUUGAAUCUUGUUGGUCGUUCCUUCCUUUGCUUGGGACGUUGAGUCAGUGAGGAAGAUGAUCGUUGAUUUCUGCCUGCUGGAGCGAGCCAGCACAAAGACUUUGGUCGGGAGGGAUCUCUCGUCUUUUGAAAUCCUUGCUCAUUAUCAGAGCUUG